rnacentral:misc_RNA from 1 species
GAUGAAGAACGUAGUGAAAUGCGAUAAGUAGUGUGAAUUGCAGAAUUUAGUGAAUAAUCGAAUCUUUGAACGCACAUUGCGCCCUAUAGUAUUCUGUAGGGCAUGCCUGUUCGAGCGUUAUUGAGACCUCAAGCUCUGCUUGGAAAUGGGCGCUUGUCUUGCCUUGCAGACUCGCCUUAAAACCAUUGGCAGCUGAUUUACAAUGUUUGGUGCACAGUACAUGAGCCCAAGUGUUGCAAUGAGUGGCCCAAAAGUAUACAAUAGAAGCUUAACCUCGGAUCAGGUAGGGAUACCCGCUGAACUUAAGCAUAUCAAUAAGCGGAGGA